rnacentral:lncRNA from 1 species
CCGCUGCCACCUCUUUCCGGCGACCACCAUAGCCCUGCACCAAUUAUAAAUCAGUGGGUAUAAAGCUUAAUUUCUCUUUGUCAAAUCAGUUCUAUAUAAACGUAUAUAUACAUGUGGUGUUGUGUUUAUAUGGUUUAAAUUAAUUUAUAUAAUCGAUUUAUGUGUGCUUGUAUGUAUAUAAACUGAUUAUAUGCUUGUAAUUGAAGGUUGAUUGAAUUUCUGAGAUUGAGAUUGGUGUUAGUAAUUGUAUGAUUGAAUUGUGUGCUUAAUUGAUAUUUGAACUGGUUGUUGUAAGUUGAUUAUAAAUAGUGCGCCAACUAGUAGUGUAAUCGGAUGACUUGGGUACUUGAAUUAUGGGAAUAUAUAACUGAGUAUUCAAGCUUUAAGGUCUGAGAUUUUUUGUAAAUGUUUUCAAAGUGGUGUUUUAAGAGUUUAAGUAUUGGGCUAAAAAAAAAAUUUUGAUUUACACAUAUUCGGUUGAAUUCUAGAUUGCUGUUGAUCUGUUUUGAAUUACAACUCUGGGAUCAUAGAGUUGAAUUAUAUGCUUAAUAUUUGUGUGGUUAUGUGCUCCUUAGAGUCUAGUUUAUGUGCGCGAAAGAACCGAAUCGAUUCGAUUAGCGAGCUAGGAGAUAUGACCGUUUUAGUAUAGUAUGGUGCUGAAAAUUCUGGGCAGGUUUGUCCUGUUCUAGGCUCUGUUUUACUGCUUUAAACUUGAAGUUUCUUUCUGAAAAUUUUACUGUAGGUUGGAAUAAUAUUCAGGAGUGUCUCAUAAAAAUUUUGUAUUUAAAAGAUAAAUUUUCAAUUUAUUAAAAAUCAUAGACCGAGGGCUGUUUGAACUAUUUGUUCUAGUUUUUCUUUCUUUGCUAGUGCAUAGUAUGAGGUUAUACUUGGCUAAUUGCAUAUGAUUGAUUAUUACAUUGAUUGGCUCGGUUAACCUUUAUAUCUAAUUAAACGUGCUUUGCGUAUAACAAAUUAGUAAUCCUGCUAAAAGAUUUUAUUAUAUGUUCACUACAAGUCAAGACAGAUUUUCUGUUCACUGCAAGCCAAGGGAUCUUUUUUUAUAUUAAUAAUUCAUGUGUUAGCAAUGGUAUUGGUUGGUUGUUGGUAUUGCAAACAGGUGGAUAGUCCGAUAAACGGAGGAGAUGAUGCCGAAUUUUCGUUAGAAACUAUAUGUAUUUAAUGGCUAUAAAAAGGGGUUAUUUGUGCAAUUAUGUGUUAUGUGUUUAUCUGCCUAUGUGGUAUGUAUAUGCGAAGGGUAGAUAUAUAUAGGUCUUAAUACUUUUCAGAGUUAGUUAAUUUGUCUGAUCCGACGGUUAAAAUACUAUUUUACUAUCGUAUAGAAUUGAAGACAUUGACCGAGGCAUUGAUCGAGAAGUGAUUGAAAUGGGUAUCCAGAAUUAGCCAAGUAGUGUUGCAAGUUGAAGUAGGGCGGAGAUUUGUUAUAGAUAAAAGCUUGUCAGAAGCUGGCAGAAAGGAAUGAUAUGGCGGUAUAUAGUAUUAUUAGAAAUCUGACCUAGACACCGGAGUUAAGGCAAGUACUUCUACCUUUCUCUCGCAAUUUAGAAGCAAGUAUUUCUACCCUACUCCUCUAGUACCUAUAGAUACUAAAACCUUCUUUAUAUCAUGAUUCAAAUUAUUUGCAAUUACUUUCUUGUGAAGCAUAUCUAGUACUUUUAAACCUUUUGGUUGAACGGAUAACACUUUUGGUAUCGACUCUACACUAUGAUAUGCAUAAAGAAAUUGUUUUAACAAAAUGUUGUUCUGGCUCUUGAAUUACAUGAUAGAACUGCAGAUUGUUUUAAAAAUUAAACUGUUAGGUUGUUUUUGCGUAAGAGGCUCGGGCACCGGCCCAGCGUGAAAGGUGGCUCCUUAAGCCCGGAUUACCGGAAUUCGUAAUAUUUGUCAACCUUGCUGAAUAAGCUUGGUUUAUGGACUAUAGCAUGACUGAUCAUCUGUUAUAGCCAGGUGUCCAAUUAUUUUUAAAGCCCAAUAAAAUUGUGAAUAGUUUAAAAAGAAGUUACCCUGCCUUCAAGAGAUAUUUGCUUAUACAUUCAUUUCUGCAGUUUUAAAUAUUUUCACUUCUUUAUUAUGGCAUUGCUGUACAACAAAUAUCAAUUUCAUUUUGUUAUUCUUGCUGAGCAUUAUUGCUCAUUCUUGCUAUUCCUUCUAACCCUUUUCAGCUAGGAAUAAAGAUGAUUCACUUAAGACUAGGCAAGGAUUGCAAGUGGUUGAGUUUCAAGCAGAUGGACAGGUAGAGUAUUUAGGACGAUGUCAUUAAGACUAGAUGCAGUUGGAGUUCUGCAAUUCAAUUCAGUUGGAAAUUAGAUUUGUUUAUUUGGUUAUCAGCUACUCUUCUUAUCGAGGUUUAGCUGAUAAUGUUGUUUAAUUUGUAAAUAAGAUUUUAUAGUUUUAGUUUCUGAUUUCAAUGCUGUAGCCUGUAUGCGAUCCUGUUUUCAGGGGGUGAAAUUGAUUUUGAAUUAAAGACCUUCUUUUAAAAAAAUAAUAUAUCCAGGUUUAGAAAUACUUGUUUUUACUUUCUUCCAAAAAUACAGGUUUUAAAUUGUUUUUCUUUUAAUGGCUCAAAACUACAGGUUUUAAAUUAUUUUUAUUUACACGUGGCACCAGAUCUAGACCCCCGGAUUUGAGGGAUGUCACAGUUGGUAUCAGAGCUACAGGUUAUAAGUUAUUGAAAUCAGAAUGUAGGUUGUAACUUGUCUAAUAAGAUAGACACGUUAAGUGAAACCUCACAUAUAGGUAAGUUCAGAUUAGUGGUGUAACCUCAUAUAGAGGUAUCGUAAGACUAUUUGGGGAUAGUCCUUUUGAGCAUAAUAAAAUGAAGCUAAACGAUUAUGUUUAAGUGAUUAUGGUUAUAGACACAACAAUUCCUAAUUCUAGUUCUUCCAGUCCCUAGUGGCCUAGUUUAUUGACCAAUUCAGAUUUAUAUCAUUGUAAGAGGGUCAAAGUUAGACCUAUCAACAGAACCUUCAAGCUAGAACCAGUAGAGAUUCUCACACAGUCUAAUGUAUCCUUUAUAGUAUCUUCCAAGUGUUGAGUAUUAUUUGAAGAGUCACCUUUUGAUUCUUGUCAGAGAUAUCUAGAAUUGGUGAAAGAAUAGAGGUGUUAACAAGUCCGAGUUUACAGCUUUGUAUAUAGUUAAGUAGUGAGCGUUAGAGCUACGUAGAGUUCGUGUUAGAUUAUUCGAUCUAGUACUUAUGUGUGAGUUAAGACGUCAACGCUCUAUGGUGAUGAUUGUAUAAAGUUGGAUAAGACUUUUGACCGACAACGAUAUCAAUGAUGGGAUCUUCAGAGGCUAUUACUAGUCAACGAUAAUAUAUGCAAGUGGUCACUAAAACGUCAAGAAGAAUCACUAGAAUCAGAACGAGUCAUCAAAAGAAUCGAUCAAGAAGACAUCUGUGAGAAUCCUGGCAAUACCUUCCUCAUUGUUGAUAUAUUGAUUUCUUUCCCCAUCAAUGAUUUGUUCUGACAUCACUUAAAAAAAAAAAUAUUUGAUAAAGAGUAUAUUUUUACCUUUCACUCGAGUUCUCGAAUGAUACUUGUGCUUACUGUCAGACCUAUAGAAUCUAUUCAAUCUUGGUAAUUUCGAACCCUUUCAUAUUCUCUACUCUAACUGAGAUGAACAACCCUACCUAUAGGGGACACAAGGACUACCUGUCUGUGUGAUAGGAGUUGGAUGGGACGCCAUCACUUGUGUGUGUUGUACAUUACAAGAAGGUUAACUACCUUUAGUAGUGUCUUAAAUUAGACACGCAACACCGAGUUCUAUAGACCAUAUUGAUCUCUCAGUUAUUCAUUUAUUUCAAUCACGUAACACUUGCUCCAAUAUGUGAAAUCUGUCAUAUCUUUUACCUUCAAGAUUCUUCUAAUCUCUAAUAGUUGGAGGUAUGCCAACCGAGUUGCCAAUAUGAAUUAAGACUUUGUAGUAAGAAGCACCAGGGAUGAAAGCGAAUGACAAUGCUGGUUAUAUCAGAAAGGAAUAUUAUGGAUUAUAGAGAUCGUACGCUCUAGUUUUCUUUUUGAUGAUUCCGAGGACGGAAUCUUUUUAAGGGGGGUAGAUUGUGACGACCCGGAUUUUCAGAAAUUAUUUUAUUAUUUUUAUUCAUGAUUAUUCGAGACAAAUGAGGAAUAAAUUUCAAUAUUUUAUUCUAGUUUGAUAAUUUUCAAAAAUAUUUGUUUAAAUUAUUUUCCUAGUCAUUGUGAUUAUGAGAAAAUAUCUGUUGAUUGUACAAUUAUAUGUUACGAGAUUUAAUUGAAUUAGUUGUCUACUAUUAUGUCUGUGUGUGCAUUUAUUUUUACUUUUAAUAUUACUGUAUUGUUUUAUUGAAAUUUAUUAUCCUCUUAAAUGGAUAUUUAUUUUUGUAAAAAUACAAAGAUAAUUUCAAAAAUUAUUUUAAUUGCUCGAUAGUGAUCAUAAAUAUGUUUAGAAGUUUUUAAAAUAUUAAAAAUCCAAUUUCUACAAGGACAUGAUUUUUAAUUAGUUUCUAAACGCAGCUAACUUCUUAAUUUUGUAUAAAUUUUGAAAAUGCUCUAUAAAUCUUGAAACUUUUAUUUUAUGAGUUUUAUAAUAUUCGGUAAUUUAUAAAAUUAGUUUGUUAAUUUUUCGAGAAAGUUUUAAUGCGAGUUAUCCCGUAAAUCAACUAAAUAGCGGGUGUUUGGAUGAUUAUUCAGCUUAAAAUAAAACGUGGCAGCCUUUGGCCAAACCACGUGCCCUGCUUUUCACCACCGCCAUCCCUUUUCUUCAUUUUAUAUACAUCAGCCUCUCAAUCUCUCUCUCUCUCUCUCUGUGAAAUCCUCCAUCUCUCCCUCUCCGCUCCUCUUUCUUUUCUCACCCAUCUUCCUCUCUUUCUUGGCAUCACCGUCCCUUCCCUGCAGCCGCCGAAUUAUGCCGCUGCCACCUCUUUCCGGCGACCACCAUAGCCCUGCACCAAUUAUAAAUCAGUGGGUAUAAAGCUUAAUUUCUCUUUGUCAAAUCAGUUCUAUAUAAACGUAUAUAUACAUGUGGUGUUGUGUUUAUAUGGUUUAAUUUGAUUUAUAUAAUCGAUUUAUGUGUGCUUGUAUGUAUAUAAACUGAUUAUAUGCUGGUUAUUGAAAUUUGAAGGUUGAUUGAAUUUUUGAGAUUGAGAUUGGUGUUAGUAAUCGUAUGAUUGAAUUGUGUGCUUAAUUGAUAUUUGAAUUGGUUGUUGGAGGUUCAUUAUAAAUGGUGCGCCAACUAGUAGUGUAAUCGGAUGACUUGGGUACUUGAUUUAUGGGAAUAUAUAACUGAGUAUUAAAGCUUUAAGGUCUGAGAUUUUGUGUAAAUGUUUUCAGAAUGGUGUUUUAAGAGUUUAAGUAUUGAGCUAAAAAAAAUUUAGAUUUACACAUAAUCGGUUGAAUUGUAAGUUGCUGCUGAUCUGUUUUGCAGUAAAAUUCUGGGCUUCUAGAGUCGAAUUAUAUGCUUAAUAUUUUUGUGGUUAUGUGCUCCUCAGAGUCUAGUUUAUGUGCGCAAAAGAAUCGAAUCAAUUCGAUUAGCGAGCUAGGAGAUAUGACCGUUUUAGUAUAGUAUGGUGCUGAAAAUUCUGGGCAGGUUUGUCCUGUUCUAGGCUCUGUUUUACUGCUUUAAACUUGAAGUUUCUUUCUGAAAAUUUUACUGUAGGUUGGAAUAAUAUUCAGGAGUGUCUCAUAAAAAUUUUGUAUUUAAAAGAUAAAUUUUCAAUUUAUUAAAAAUCAUAGACCGAGGGCUGUUUGAACUAUUUGUUCUAGUUUUUCUUUCUUUGCUAGUGCAUAGUAUGAGGUUAUACUUGGCUAAUUGCAUAUGAUUGAUUAUUACAUUGAUUGGCUCGGUUAACCUUUAUAUCUAAUUAAACGUGCUUUGCGUAUAACAAAUUAGUAAUCCUGCUAAAAGAUUUUAUUAUAUGUUCACUACAAGUCAAGACAGAUUUUCUGUUCACUGCAAGCCAAGGGAUCUUUUUUUAUAUUAAUAAUUCAUGUGUUAGCAAUGGUAUUGGUUGGUUGUUGGUAUUGCAAACAGGUGGAUAGUCCGAUAAACAGAGGAGAUGAUGCCGAAUUUUCGUUAGGAAUUAUAUGUAUUUAAUGGCUAUAAAAAGGGGUUAUUUGUGCAAUUAUGUGUUAUGUGUUUAUCUGCCUAUGUGGUAUGUAUAUGCGAAGGGUAGAUAUAUAUAGGUCUUAAUACUUUUCAGAGUUAGUUAAUUUGUCUGAUCCGACGGUUAAAAUACUAUUUUACUAUCGUAUAGAAUUGAAGACAUUGACCGAGGCAUUGAUCGAGAAGUGAUUGAAAUGGGUAUCCAGAAUUAGCCAAGUAGUGUUGCAAGUUGAAGUAGGGCGGAGAUUUGUUAUAGAUAAAAGCUUGUCAGAAGCUGGCAGAAAGGAAUGAUAUGGCGGUAUAUAGUAUUAUUAGAAAUCUGACCUAGACACCAGAGUUAAGGCAAGUACUUCUACCUUUCUCUCGCAAUUUAGAAGCAAGUAUUUCUACCCUACUCCUCUAGUACCUAUAGAUACUAAAACCUUCUUUAUAUCAUGAUUCAAAUUAUUUGCAAUUACUUUCUUGUGAAGCAUAUCUAGUACUUUUAAACCUUUUGGUUGAACGGAUAACACUUUUGGUAUCGACUCUACACUAUGAUAUGCAUAAAGAAAUUGUUUUAACAAAAUGUUGUUCUGGCUCUUGAAUUACAUGAUAGAACUGCAGAUUGUUUUAAAAAUUAAACUGUUGGGUUGUUUUUGCGUAAGAGGCUCGGGCACCGGCCCAGCGUGAAAGGUGGCUCCUUAAGCCCGGAUUACCGGAAUUCGUAAUAUUUGUCAACCUUGCUGAAUAAGCUUGGUUUAUGGACUAUAGCAUGACUGAUCAUCUGUUAUAGCCAGGUGUCCAAUUAAUUUUAAAGCCCAAUAAAAUUGUGAAUAGUUUAAAAAGAAGUUACCCUGCCUUCAAGAGAUAUUUGCUUAUACAUUCAUUUCUGCAGUUUUAAAUAUUUUCACUUCUUUAUUAUGGCAUUGCUGUACAACAAAUAUCAAUUUCAUUUUGUUAUUCUUGCUGAGCAUUAUUGCUCAUUCUUGCUAUUCCUUCUAACCCUUUUCAGCUAGGAAUAAAGAUGAUUCACUUAAGACUAGGCAAGGAUUGCAAGUGGUUGAGUUUCAAGCAGAUGGACAGGUAGAGUAUUUAGGACGAUGUCAUUAAGACUAGAUGCAGUUGGAGUUCUGCAAUUCAAUUCAGUUGGAAAUUAGAUUUGUUUAUUUGGUUAUCAGCUACUCUUCUUAUCGAGGUUUAGCUGAUAAUGUUGUUUAAUUUGUAAAUAAGAUUUUAUAGUUUUAGUUUCUGAUUUCAAUGCUGUAGCCUGUAUGCGAUCCUGUUUUCAGGGGGUGAAAUUGAUUUUGAAUUAAAGACCUUCUUUUAAAAAAAUAAUAUCCAGGUUUAGAAAUACUUGUUUUUACUUUCUUCCAAAAAUACAGGUUUUAAAUUGUUUUUCUUUUAAUGGCUCAAAACUACAGGUUUUAAAUUAUUUUUAUUUACACGUGGCACCAGAUCUAGACCCCCGGAUUUGAGGGAUGUCACAGUUGGUAUCAGAGCUACAGGUUAUAAGUUAUUGAAAUCAGAAUGUAGGUUGUAACUUGUCUAAUAAGAUAGACACGUUAAGUGAAACCUCACAUAUAGGUAAGUUCAGAUUAGUGGUGUAACCUCAUAUAGAGGUAUCGUAAGACUAUUUGGGGAUAGUCCUUUUGAGCAUAAUAAAAUGAAGCUAAACGAUUAUGUUUAAGUGAUUAUGGUUAUAGACACAACAAUUCCUAAUUCUAGUUCUUCCAGUCCCUAGUGGCCUAGUUUAUUGACCAAUUCAGAUUUAUAUCAUUGUAAGAGGGUCAAAGUUAGACCUAUCAACAGAACCUUCAAGCUAGAACCAGUAGAGAUUCUCACACAGUCUAAUGUAUCCUUUAUAGUAUCUUCCAAGUGUUGAGUAUUAUUUGAAGAGUCACCUUUUGAUUCUUGUCAGAGAUAUCUAGAAUUGGUGAAAGAAUAGAGGUGUUAACAAGUCCGAGUUUACAGCUUUGUAUAUAGUUAAGUAGUGAGCGUUAGAGCUACGUAGAGUUUGUGUUAGAUUAUUCGAUCUAGUACUUAUGUGUGAGUUAAGAUGUCAACGCUCUAUGGUGAUGAUUGUAUAAAGUUGGAUAAGACUUUUGACCGACAACGAUAUCAAUGAUGGGAUCUUCAGAGGCUAUUACUAGUCAACGAUAAUAUAUGCAAGUGGUCACUAAAACGUCAAGAAAAAUCACUAGAAUCAGAACGAGUCAUCAAAAGAAUCGAUCAAAAAGACAUCUGUGAGAAUCCUGGCAAUACCUUCCUCAUUGUUGAUAUAUUGAUUUCUUUCCCCAUCAAUGAUUUGUUCUGACAUCACUUUAAAAAAAAAAAAUAUUUGAUAAAGAGUAUAUUUUUACCUUUCACUCGAGUUCUCGAAUGAUACUUGUGCUUACUGUCACACCUAUAGAAUCUAUUCAAUCUUGGUAAUUUCGAACCCUUUCAUAUUCUUUACUCUAACUGAGAUGAACAACCCUACCUAUAGGGGACACAAGGACUACCUGUCUGUGUGAUAGGAGUUGGAUGGGACGCCAUCACUUGUGUGUGUUGUACAUUACAAGAAGGUUAACUACCUUUAGUAGUGUCUUAAAUUAGACACGCAACACCGAGUUCUAUAGACCAUAUUGAUCUCUCAGUUAUUCAUUUAUUUCAAUCACGUAACACUUGCUCCAAUAUGUGAAAUCUGUCAUAUCUUUUACCUUCAAGAUUCUUCUAAUCUCUAAUAGUUGGAGGUAUGCCAACCGAGUUGCCAAUAUGAAUUAAGACUUUGUAGUAAGAAGCACCAGGGAUGAAAGCGAAUGACAAUGCUGGUUAUAUCAGAAAGGAAUAUUAUGGAUUAUAGAGAUCGUACACUCUAGUUUUCUUUUUGAUGAUUCCGAGGACGGAAUCUUUUUAAGGGGGGUAGAUUGUGACGACCCGGAUUUUCAGAAAUUAUUUUAUUAUUUUUAUUCAUGAUUAUUCGAGACAAAUGAGGAAUAAAUUUCAAUAUUUUAUUCUAGUUUGAUAAUUUUCAAAAAUAUUUGUUUAAAUUAUUUUCCUAGUCAUUGUGAUUAUGAGAAAAUAUCUGUUGAUUGUACAAUUAUAUGUUACGAGAUUUAAUUGAAUUAGUUGUCUACUAUUAUGUCUGUGUGUGCAUUUAUUUUUACUUUUAAUAUUACUGUAUUGUUUUAUUGAAAUUUAUUAUCCUCUUAAAUGGAUAUUUAUUUUUGUAAAAAUACAAAGAUAAUUUCAAAAAUUAUUUUAAUUGCUCGAUAGUGAUCAUAAAUAUGUUUAGAAGUUUUUAAAAUAUUAAAAAUCCAAUUUCUACAAGGACAUGAUUUUUAAUUAGUUUCUAAACGCAGCUAACUUCUUAAUUUUGUAUAAAUUUUGAAAAUGCUCUAUAAAUCUUGAAACUUUUAUUUUAUGAGUUUUAUAAUAUUCGGUAAUUUAUAAAAUUAGUUUGUUAAUUUUUCGAGAAAGUUUUAAUGCGAGUUAUCCCGUAAAUCAACUAAAUAGCGGGUGUUUGGAUGAUUAUUCAGCUUAAAAUAAAACGUGGCAGCCUUUGGCCAAACCACGUGCCCUGCUUUUCACCACCGCCAUCCCUUUUCUUCAUUUUAUAUACAUCAGCCUCUCAAUCUCUCUCUCUCUCUCUCUGUGAAAUCCUCCAUCUCUCCCUCUCCGCUCCUCUUUCUUUUCUCACCCAUCUUCCUCUCUUUCUUGGCAUCACCGUCCCUUCCCUGCAGCCGCCGAAUUAUGCCGUUAUGCCGCUGCCACCUCUUUCCAGCGACCACCAUAGCCCUGCACCAAUUAUAAAUCAGUGGGUGUAAAGCUUAAUUUCUCUUUGUCAAAUCAGUUCUAUAUAAACGUAUAUAUACAUGUGGUGUUGUGUUUAUAUGGAUUAAAUUGAUUUAUAUAAUCGAUUUAUGUGUGCUUGUAUGUAUAUAAACUGAUUAUAUGCUGGUUUUUGAAAUUUGAAGGUUGAUUGAAUUUUUGAGAUUGAGAUUGGUGUUAGUAAUCGUAUGAUUGAAUUGUGUGCUUAAUUGAUAUUUGAAUUGGUUGUUGUAAGUUGAUUAUAAAUAGUGCGCCAAUUAGUAGUGUAAUCGGAUGACUUGGGUACUUGAAUUAUGGGAAUAUAUAACUGAGUAUUCAAGCUUUAAGGUCUGAGAUUUUUGUAAAUGUUUUCAAAGUGGUGUUUUAAGAGUUUAAGUAUUGGGCUAAAAAAAAAUUUUGAUUUACACAUAUUCGGUUGAAUUCUAGAUUGCUGUUGAUCUGUUUUGAAUUACAACUCUGGGAUCAUAGAGUUGAAUUAUAUGCUUAAUAUUUGUGUGGUUAUGUGCUCCUUAGAGUCUAGUUUAUGUGCGCGAAAGAACCGAAUCGAUUCGAUUAGCGAGCUAGGAGAUAUGACCGUUUUAGUAUAGUAUGGUGCUGAAAAUUCUGGGCAGGUUUGUCCUGUUCCAGGCUCUGUUUUACAGCUUUAAACUUGGAUUUUCUUUCUGAAAAUUUUACUGUAGGUUGGAAUAAUAUUUAGGAGUGUCUCAUAAAAAUUUCGUAUUAAAAAGAUAAUUUUUCAAUUUAUUAAAAAUCAUAGACCGAGGGCUGUUUGAACUAUUUGUUCUAUUUUUCUUUCUUUGCUAGUGCAUAGUAUGAGGUUAUACUUGACUAAUUGCAUAUGAUUGAUUAUUACAUUGAUUGGCUCGGUUAACCUUGUAUAUCUAAUUAAAAGUGUUUUGCGUAUAACAAGUUAGCAAUCCUGCUAAAAGAUUUUAUUAUAUGUUUACUACAAGUCAAGACAGAUUUUCUUAUGUGUUUACUGCAAGUCAAGGGAUCUUUUUAUAUUAAUAAUUCAUGUGUUAGCAAUAGUAUUGGUUGGUUGUUGGCAUUGCAAACAGGUGGAUAAGCUUAUAAACAGAGGAGAUGCUGCCGAAUUUUCGUUAGAAAUUAUAUGGAUUUAAUGCCUAUAAAAAGGGUUGUUUGUACAACUAUGUGCUAUGUGUUUAUGUGACUGUGGUAUGUAUAUGCGAAGGGUAGAUAUAUAUAUAGGUCUUAAUGCAAUUCAGGGUUAGUCAAUAUGUCUAAUCCGACGACUGAAAUACUAUUUUAUCAUCGUAUAGAAUUGAAGACAUUGACCGAGGCAUUAAUCGAGAAGUGAUUGAAAGGGGUAUUCAGAAAUAGCCAAGCAGAAUGUUACAAGUUGAAGUAGGACGGAGAUUUGUUAUAGAUAAAAGUGUGUCAGAAGCUGGCAGAAAGGAAUGAUUAUGCGGUAUAUAGUGUUACUAGGAAUCUGAGCUAAACUUUGGAGUUAAGGCAAGUACUUCUACCUUCUCUCGCAAUUUAGAAGCAAGUAUUUCUACCCUACUCCUCUAGUACCUAUAGAUACUAAAACCUUCUUUAUAUCAUGAUUCAAAUUAUUUGCAAUUACUUUCUUGUGAAGCAUAUCUAGUACUUUUAAACUUUUUGGUUGAACGGAUAACACUUUUGGUAUCAACUCUACACUAUGAUAUGCAUAAAGAAAUUGUUUUAACAAAAUGUUAUUCUGGCUCUUGAAUUACAUGAUGGAACUGCAGAUUGUUUUAAAAAUUAAACUAUUGGGUUGUUUUUGCGUAAGAGGCUCGGGCACCGGCCCAGCGUGAAAGGUGGCUCCUUAAGCCCGGAUUACCGGAAUUCGUAAUAUUUGUCAACCUUGCUGAAUAAGCUUGGUUUAUGGACUAUAGCAUGACUGAUCAUCUGUUAUAGCCAGGUGUCCAAUUAUUUUUAAAGCCCAAUAAAAUUGUGAAUAGUUUAAAAAGAAGUUACCCUGCCUUCAAGAGAUAUUUGCUUAUACAUUCAUUUCUGCAGUUUUAAAUAUUUUCACUUCUUUAUUAUGGCAUUGCUGUACAACAAAUAUCAAUUUCAUUUUGUUAUUCUUGCUGAGCAUUAUUGCUCAUUCUUGCUAUUCCUUCUAACCCUUUUCAGCUAGGAAUAAAGAUGAUUCACUUAAGACUAGGCAAGGAUUGCAAGUGGUUGAGUUUCAAGCAGAUGGACAGGUAGAGUAUUUAGGACGAUGUCAUUAAGACUAGAUGCAGUUGGAGUUCUGCAAUUCAAUUCAGUUGGAAAUUAGAUUUGUUUAUUUGGUUAUCAGCUACUCUUCUUAUCGAGGUUUAGCUGAUAAUGUUGUUUAAUUUGUAAAUAAGAUUUUAUAGUUUUAGUUUCUGAUUUCAAUGCUGUAGCCUGUAUGCGAUCCUGUUUUCAGGGGGUGAAAUUGAUUUUGAAUUAAAGACCUUCUUUUAAAAAAAAAAAAUAUCCAGGUUUAGAAAUACUUGUUUUUACUUUCUUCCAAAAAUACAGGUUUUAAAUUGUUUUUCUUUUAAUGGCUCAAAACUACAGGUUUUAAAUUAUUUUUAUUUACACGUGGCACCAGAUCUAGACCCCCGGAUUUGAGGGAUGUCACAGUUGGUAUCAGAGCUACAGGUUAUAAGUUAUUGAAAUCAGAAUGUAGGUUGUAACUUGUCUAAUAAGAUAGACACGUUAAGUGAAACCUCACAUAUAGGUAAGUUCAGAUUAGUGGUGUAACCUCAUAUAGAGGUAUCGUAAGACUAUUUGGGGAUAGUCCUUUUGAGCAUAAUAAAAUGAAGCUAAACGAUUAUGUUUAAGUGAUUAUGGUUAUAGACACAACAAUUCCUAAUUCUAGUUCUUCCAGUCCCUAGUGGCCUAGUUUAUUGACCAAUUCAGAUUUAUAUCAUUGUAAGAGGGUCAAAGUUAGACCUAUCAACAGAACCUUCAAGCUAGAACCAGUAGAGAUUCUCACACAGUCUAAUGUAUCCUUUAUAGUAUCUUCCAAGUGUUGAGUAUUAUUUGAAGAGUCACCUUUUGAUUCUUGUCAGAGAUAUCUAGAAUUGGUGAAAGAAUAGAGGUGUUAACAAGUCCGAGUUUACAGCUUUGUAUAUAGUUAAGUAGUGAGCGUUAGAGCUACGUAGAGUUCGUGUUAGAUUAUUCGAUCUAGUACUUAUGUGUGAGUUAAGACGUCAACGCUCUAUGGUGAUGAUUGUAUAAAGUUGGAUAAGACUUUUGACCGACAACGAUAUCAAUGAUGGGAUCUUCAGAGGCUAUUACUAGUCAACGAUAAUAUAUGCAAGUGGUCACUAAAACGUCAAGAAGAAUCACUAGAAUCAGAACGAGUCAUCAAAAGAAUCGAUCAAGAAGACAUCUGUGAGAAUCCUGGCAAUACCUUCCUCAUUGUUGAUAUAUUGAUUUCUUUCCCCAUCAAUGAUUUGUUCUGACAUCACUUAAAAAAAAAAAUAUUUGAUAAAGAGUAUAUUUUUACCUUUCACUCGAGUUCUCGAAUGAUACUUGUGCUUACUGUCAGACCUAUAGAAUCUAUUCAAUCUUGGUAAUUUCGAACCCUUUCAUAUUCUCUACUCUAACUGAGAUGAACAACCCUACCUAUAGGGGACACAAGGACUACCUGUCUGUGUGAUAGGAGUUGGAUGGGACGCCAUCACUUGUGUGUGUUGUACAUUACAAGAAGGUUAACUACCUUUAGUAGUGUCUUAAAUUAGACACGCAACACCGAGUUCUAUAGACCAUAUUGAUCUCUCAGUUAUUCAUUUAUUUCAAUCACGUAACACUUGCUCCAAUAUGUGAAAUCUGUCAUAUCUUUUACCUUCAAGAUUCUUCUAAUCUCUAAUAGUUGGAGGUAUGCCAACCGAGUUGCCAAUAUGAAUUAAGACUUUGUAGUAAGAAGCACCAGGGAUGAAAGCGAAUGACAAUGCUGGUUAUAUCAGAAAGGAAUAUUAUGGAUUAUAGAGAUCGUACGCUCUAGUUUUCUUUUUGAUGAUUCCGAGGACGGAAUCUUUUUAAGGGGGGUAGAUUGUGACGACCCGGAUUUUCAGAAAUUAUUUUAUUAUUUUUAUUCAUGAUUAUUCGAGACAAAUGAGGAAUAAAUUUCAAUAUUUUAUUCUAGUUUGAUAAUUUUCAAAAAUAUUUGUUUAAAUUAUUUUCCUAGUCAUUGUGAUUAUGAGAAAAUAUCUGUUGAUUGUACAAUUAUAUGUUACGAGAUUUAAUUGAAUUAGUUGUCUACUAUUAUGUCUGUGUGUGCAUUUAUUUUUACUUUUAAUAUUACUGUAUUGUUUUAUUGAAAUUUAUUAUCCUCUUAAAUGGAUAUUUAUUUUUGUAAAAAUACAAAGAUAAUUUCAAAAAUUAUUUUAAUUGCUCGAUAGUGAUCAUAAAUAUGUUUAGAAGUUUUUAAAAUAUUAAAAAUCCAAUUUCUACAAGGACAUGAUUUUUAAUUAGUUUCUAAACGCAGCUAACUUCUUAAUUUUGUAUAAAUUUUGAAAAUGCUCUAUAAAUCUUGAAACUUUUAUUUUAUGAGUUUUAUAAUAUUCGGUAAUUUAUAAAAUUAGUUUGUUAAUUUUUCGAGAAAGUUUUAAUGCGAGUUAUCCCGUAAAUCAACUAAAUAGCGGGUGUUUGGAUGAUUAUUCAGCUUAAAAUAAAACGUGGCAGCCUUUGGCCAAACCACGUGCCCUGCUUUUCACCACCGCCAUCCCUUUUCUUCAUUUUAUAUACAUCAGCCUCUCAAUCUCUCUCUCUCUCUCUCUGUGAAAUCCUCCAUCUCUCCCUCUCCGCUCCUCUUUCUUUUCUCACCCAUCUUCCUCUCUUUCUUGGCAUCACCGUCCCUUCCCUGCAGCCGCCGAAUUAUGCCGCUGCCACCUCUUUCCGGCGACCACCAUAGCCCUGCACCAAUUAUAAAUCAGUGGGUAUAAAGCUUAAUUUCUCUUUGUCAAAUCAGUUCUAUAUAAACGUAUAUAUACAUGUGGUGUUGUGUUUAUAUGGUUUAAUUUGAUUUAUAUAAUCGAUUUAUGUGUGCUUGUAUGUAUAUAAACUGAUUAUAUGCUGGUUAUUGAAAUUUGAAGGUUGAUUGAAUUUUUGAGAUUGAGAUUGGUGUUAGUAAUCGUAUGAUUGAAUUGUGUGCUUAAUUGAUAUUUGAAUUGGUUGUUGGAGGUUCAUUAUAAAUGGUGCGCCAACUAGUAGUGUAAUCGGAUGACUUGGGUACUUGAUUUAUGGGAAUAUAUAACUGAGUAUUAAAGCUUUAAGGUCUGAGAUUUUGUGUAAAUGUUUUCAGAAUGGUGUUUUAAGAGUUUAAGUAUUGAGCUAAAAAAAAUUUAGAUUUACACAUAAUCGGUUGAAUUGUAAGUUGCUGCUGAUCUGUUUUGCAGUAAAAUUCUGGGCUUCUAGAGUCGAAUUAUAUGCUUAAUAUUUUUGUGGUUAUGUGCUCCUCAGAGUCUAGUUUAUGUGCGCAAAAGAAUCGAAUCAAUUCGAUUAGCGAGCUAGGAGAUAUGACCGUUUUAGUAUAGUAUGGUGCUGAAAAUUCUGGGCAGGUUUGUCCUGUUCCAGGCUCUGUUUUACAGCUUUAAACUUGGAUUUUCUUUCUGAAAAUUUUACUGUAGGUUGGAAUAAUAUUUAGGAGUGUCUCAUAAAAAUUUCGUAUUUAAAAGAUAAAUUUUCAAUUUAUUAAAAAUCAUAGACCGAGGGCUGUUUGAACUAUUUGUUCUAUUUUUCUUUCUUUGCUAGUGCAUAGUAUGAGGUUAUACUUGACUAAUUGCAUAUGAUUGAUUAUUACAUUGAUUGGCUCGGUUAACCUUGUAUAUCUAAUUAAAAGUGUUUUGCGUAUAACAAGUUAGCAAUCCUGCUAAAAGAUUUUAUUAUAUGUUUACUACAAGUCAAGACAGAUUUUCUUAUGUGUUUACUGCAAGUCAAGGGAUCUUUUUAUAUUAAUAAUUCAUGUGUUAGCAAUAGUAUUGGUUGGUUGUUGGCAUUGCAAACAGGUGGAUAAGCUUAUAAACAGAGGAGAUGCUGCCGAAUUUUCGUUAGAAAUUAUAUGGAUUUAAUGCCUAUAAAAAGGGUUGUUUGUACAACUAUGUGCUAUGUGUUUAUGUGACUGUGGUAUGUAUAUGCGAAGGGUAGAUAUAUAUAUAGGUCUUAAUGCAAUUCAGGGUUAGUCAAUAUGUCUAAUCCGACGACUGAAAUACUAUUUUAUCAUCGUAUAGAAUUGAAGACAUUGACCGAGGCAUUAAUCGAGAAGUGAUUGAAAGGGGUAUUCAGAAAUAGCCAAGCAGAAUGUUACAAGUUGAAGUAGGACGGAGAUUUGUUAUAGAUAAAAGUGUGUCAGAAGCUGGCAGAAAGGAAUGAUUAUGCGGUAUAUAGUGUUACUAGGAAUCUGAGCUAAACUUUGGAGUUAAGGCAAGUACUUCUACCUUCUCUCGCAAUUUAGAAGCAAGUAUUUCUACCCUACUCCUCUAGUACCUAUAGAUACUAAAACCUUCUUUAUAUCAUGAUUCAAAUUAUUUGCAAUUACUUUCUUGUGAAGCAUAUCUAGU